rnacentral:misc_RNA from 1 species
GCAGGAUCAACCAGGUAGCAUUCCUCGCUAACAAAACCCGACGAAGCAUGUAAAUGCGACGACGAGAGUCGUAUAGUUGGGACAAAAAUCGCUAGCUACGGGCCAAGACGAGACAUUGCUGUCGUACCCAAUGCAUAUUCCGCAUCCGAGAGCUCAAGCGAGCGUUCAUGGGCCAAAACAACUACAAUUGCAAUUCGAGUUACGUGGGACACAAACGACGCUUCGAGGUUCACCGCGGCCAAAGCCCGUAUCAAAACGGGCAAACGCCUGGUGAAUGAUACACGAUUUGGCAACAUAUCAUUCCAUUUAGUAGGCAUGCAACACAAGAAACCAAAGAAAAUGGGCGGCCAAGACAAGGUGCUCUUGUACCAUCAAAUGAAGAGAAGAACACGGUCGACCGUCACUGCUACA